rnacentral:rRNA from 1 species
UGCCAGCCGCCGCGGUAAUACGGGGGGGGUUAGCGUUGUUCGGAAUUACUGGGCGUAAAGCGCACGCAGGCGGAUUAGAAAGUAUGGGGUGAAAUCCCGGGGCUCAACCCCGGAACUGCCUCAUAAACUCCUAGUCUAGAGAUCGAGAGAGGUGAGUGGAAUUCCAAGUGUAGAGGUGAAAUUCGUAGAUAUUUGGAGGAGCACCAGUGGCGAAGGCGGCUCACUGGCUCGAUACUGACGCUGAGGUGGGUAAGUGUGGGGGGCUAGCAGGAUUAGAUA